AUUCCAGCUCCAAUAGCGUAUAUUAAAGUUGUUGCGGUUAAAAAGCUCGUAGUUGGAUUUCUGCCGAGGACGACCGGUCCGCCCUCUGGGUGAGUAUCUGGCUCGGCCUGGGCAUCUUCUUGGAGAACGUAACUGCACUUGACUGUGUGGUGCGGUAUCCAGGACUUUUACUUUGAGGAAAUUAGAGUGUUUCAAGCAGGCACACGCCUUGAAUACAUUAGCAUGGAAUAAUAAUAUAGGACCUCGGUUCUAUUUUGUUGGUUUCUAGAGCUGAGGUAAUGAUUAAUAGGGAUAGUUGGGGGCGCUAGUAUAGCAGGGCCAGAGGUGAAAUUCUCGGAUUCUUGCUAGACUAACUUAUGCGAAAGCAUUCACCAAGGAUGUCUUCAUUA
rnacentral:rRNA from 1 species